rnacentral:rRNA from 1 species
UCAGGCNUAACACAUGCAAGUCGAGCGGUAACAUAUGUAGCUUUAGAUGAUGANCAGCGCGGACGGGUGAGUAAUACUGGGGGAUCUGCGUGAUGGAGGGGGACAACCACUGGAAACGGUGGCUAAUACCGCAUAAUACCUACGGGUCAAAGUGGGGGACCUUCGGGCCUCACGCCAUCAGAUGAACCCAAGCGAGAUUAGGUAGUUGGUAGGGUAAAGGCUUACCAAGGCGAGGAUNGUAAGGGUUCNAGAGGAUGAUCANCCCCAUGGGGANUGAGACAGGGCCCANACUCUUACGGGAGNCAGCAGUGGGGAAUUGGACAAGGGGGGCAACCGGAAUCCACCCANCCGCGUAAGCAAGAAGCCNUCCGGUUANAAANCACUNUCAGNGGUGAGGAAGNGNGUNAAUAGCGCAAGUAC